CCCGCGCUGCGGGCAUGGGCCCGGGCCCGGCUCCGGCCCCGGCCCCGGGGCGCCGCCCGCGCCUUUGCUUUGUAACCCGUUUAGGGUGCGGAAAUAACGUUGCAGCGGUACCUGCGCACGGCGCUCUGCGUUUAGCGGUGUGCGUGCCCGGGAAGUAUUUAGGAAGGGCUCUUUGUCUGUGGUUUACCUGAUGUCGAGGAACGCUUGCUGCCAUAGCUGUGCAAACGUAGCGCCUUGCAAAGGCUGCUGGCUGGUUUCGUUGGCGGAGGGCGGAGGGCUCCUUCAGCCUGGACCUUCGGCAGUGGUUUGGCACAGAACUCUGUUGCUAGCAACUGAUGCGAAAAAAACAUUAGUCACAAAUUUCCAUGGGCUGGCCACCAGCUCUCUAAAGAUGCCUUUGAGACAAACUGCAGGCAGAGGCAGCCAAGACCUCUAAAGCAGAUUUGGAUCCCUGAGGAAGUGUGUGGGUAGAAAGGGCAGUUGCGUAUUUCUGACACUUCAGGCAACCCCUCCGAACUCCAUCCUCAUCUUUCGAGCUCCUCCAGCCACGGAUCCGACACUACCAUACCCAGUGUGGACUGGAGAAGGAUUGUCUUUUCUCGCUGCUGCUGUUGUAGAGCACAAUGAGGUUGCUGACUGAUGCUAGCUGCAUGUACAAGGAAGAAAAAGCUGAAGCUGACAGAAAAAAAAAAAAAGGAAAAAAAAAAAGAGAAAAAAAACUGUAAGGAAGAAAAUGGUCUACAAAUUGGGAAAAGCAUUCUGCUUUGACAGAAUAAAAAUAAAACCUGGAAUAGGAAAGGAAAGGCAUGAAAGAGAGUACGUUGCCAGGGUAACAGAGUGUAAGCAGGAGAACAGCACCUUGCAGAUCACAAAGGCAAAUCUGCAGAAAGAAAUUUCAAGCACAACAGUAAGAAAACACUUGGAGCUGAAGCUGACCACGCAAGAGAAGAGCUGCAUGCAAGACAGGACUACAGCGUUCUUAGCAAAUUGGGCAUGA
rnacentral:lncRNA from 1 species